AUUGAACGCUGGCGGCAGGCUUAACACAUGCAAGUCGAGCGGGGUGAUGUAGCUUGCUACAUUACCUAGCGGCGGACGGGUGAGUAAUGCUUAGGAAUCUGCCUAUUAGUGGGGGACAACAUUCCGAAAGGAAUGCUAAUACCGCAUACGCCCUACGGGGAAAGCAGGGGAUCUUCGGACCUUGCGCUAAUAGAUGAGCCUAAGUCAGAUUAGCUAGUUGGUGGGGUAAAGGCCUACCAAGGCGACGAUCUGUAGCGGGUCUGAGAGGAUGAUCCGCCACACUGGGACUGAGACACGGCCCAGACUCCUACGGGAGGCAGCAGUGGGGAAUAUUGGACCAAUGGGCGCAAGCCUGAUCCAGCCAUGCCGCGUGUGUGAAGAAGGCCUUUUGGUUGUAAAGCUCUUUUGUCAGGGAAGAAACAGCAGCUCUAACACAGUCUGCGAAUGACGGUACCUGAAGAAUAAGCACCGGCUAACU
rnacentral:rRNA from 1 species